rnacentral:misc_RNA from 1 species
AAAGGAGCUGGGUCUUAACCCGAAAGAAAGGACAACCCAACUAACAGCAACACACGGCAUUGCACCAUCCAAGAGGCACUUCUGAUAGAUGCUACACCACUUGAAAAACAUUAUCAGCUUUUGCUCUCUGUAACAAAACAAUCAGGAUACACACUGUGUAAUAAAACCUUUGAGCUGAGGUUAGGUCUUGCUACUAGGCUUAAAAAGAUGAAAGACCCAUAGACAAAAGAACCAGCAAGUUGAGGAUAACCAACGCCACUACGAUCAGCGGAGGGAUGAAGUGGAGGUGCUCUUUGGCGUCCCAAUCGUGCCUUCCAAGUUGACCAUACUAUUAGUGUCAACCCUGCGAGAAACCACCAACUUCUGUUCUAUACGUUACUUCAAUAGAUAGAUCCACCAAGCUCAG